rnacentral:rRNA from 1 species
CAGCCGCCGCGGGAAUACGUAGGUGGCAAGCGUUGUCCGGAAUUAUUGGGCGUAAAGCGCACGUAGGCGGAUAUUUAAGUCAGGGGUGAAAUCCCAGAGCUCAACUCUGGAACUGCCUUUGAUACUGGGUAUCUUGAGUAUGGAAGAGGUGAGUGGAAUUCCGAGUGUAGAGGUGAAAUUCGUAGAUAUUCGGAGGAACACCAGUGGCGAAGGCGGCUCACUGGUCCAUUACUGACGCUGAGGUGCGAAAGCGUGGGGAGCAAACAGGAUUAGAUACCCCAGUAGUCCCUGUCUCUUAUAA